CCCCCUUUUAUAGGCGGAGGGGGCAACAAACUGAUAGCGAUGUCUGUAACUAUCUGGCAGUGGGCCGCCCAGAGUUAGGAGGAGUUUGUUGCGGAGAGUAGUGGAGUGGACCCGUGGCUAUCAUCGGGGCGUGCCACGUGGAGUCUGCCACGGGGAGCGGAGUGACAUCCGUUGUCGCGACUUGCCAGAGAAUGGAAGAAUCACGCGGUAUCCGUCGCAGGAAGUGGAGCAGGAUCGUAGCCAUUAUUAUGGCCUGCCAGGGAGUGAUGGAGCCAUAUGGAAUCCGUCGCAGGAGGUGGAGCAGAGUCGUGGCUGUUGCUGCGGCCUGCCAAGAGGUCCAGGCCUAUCGGUCGGAGUUCGACUGGGGUGUCUGGCAGAGAGAGGUGGCUAGCCACCCGUUUGAGAGGAGCUUGGAGUCUGACUCUCGCGGGAGUCCGGAUGGAGUCUUCCUUCAGUUGAAGUCGGGGAUGAGGUCUGGCUCCCACAGGAGUCCGGACGGAGUCUUCCCGUAGCUAGAGCUGGAGACGAGGUCUGGCUCCCGUAGGAGCUCGGGCGAAGUCUA
rnacentral:lncRNA from 1 species